rnacentral:lncRNA from 1 species
GAUAGUCGGAUCGGAGUAAUGUAUGGGACGAGUUAGUUCACAAGAUCUUGGGAAAUCUAGGGAGUUGUAAAUUGCCAAUCAUUUCCAUAUAAAUGAAUGUAAUAAAAUGAUUUUUUUUUAUUUGGCUCCUCUACAUUCUUCAACAUCUCUAUGAUAAUUUUCACAUUCAUUCGAAGGUUUCAUUUGUUAUUUUUUCUCUCAGUUUUAGUUAUUCCUUUUUCUGUCAGAGCAGGUUUUGUUAUUCUUAUUUUUAUACUUUUUUCUUACACCAAAUUGUAUAGUAAUUAAUUAAUUAUCUUGUAUCAAACAACAAAGAAAAUGAUAUUAUUUUGGUACCUAAUUAUAUUAUUCUUAUAAAACAGUAUAUCAUUACUAUUUAUUAAUCAUAUGCAGAAUGAAUCUAUUUUAUUUGUAUGUUAUAAAAGUG